ensembl:lncRNA
UUUGAAGCAGAAGCACGUCCAAAGGUAAACAGUAACAGACACAUAUCCAAAACACUUCAGAUGAUGCAUGGUACUUGUAGAAUCCCCGUUCAGUGCGCAGAGAUUAAACUUUGGCUCCAGGAGAAUGCUGUGAAUAUCCUCUUAUGAAAGAGGCUGACUAAACCGCUGCCGCGCGCACACGUCUCUCUGUUGUUAGAGAGCGCAGCAGACGAAAGUGGACUGUUUAACUGAAUUCAUACGAAACAGCGUAAAUUCCUCUGCUCUCUCUCUCUCUCUCUCUCUCUCUCUCUCUCUCUUCCUUCCUAUAUUUUACACUUGAUUCCAAUAUCGUACUGUAUUCAUUUUGAAGGAACUCCAAAGACGGUUUAAAUCUCAGUAUGUUAUCUUCAAAUGUGACGGUUUGUAGGGCUACAUAAUGUAAUGGACUCCCCAACCAGGUGCAUAACGUGCUUCAACAGAGGUAGGCAACGUUCGGUCCAGCUUUUUGGGUGUGACGAGGUGGGGCCUGAUUAAUGGGUGUCAUUUAAACCUUUCGGCCAAUACGGGACCGUUUCGUUUUAUUUCAUCAUUGCACACCAUUCUGUCGUAGGCUUACCAAACGCAACCCGUUUGAAGCUACUUACCAGUUUUUCUGGACCUGCACGCUGCCAGUUGUCUCUCAGCAUCAGUUGCAUUAUGCACCGGCAGACCACCUCCUGCUCCAGUGCGCUGCUCCACCACCGCCUGGUUUCACCGCGUACCUACAAGCGGCCUGCCAUCGCCUCGCAUCAGCGUUCCCACAGCCAGGCUGACGAAGACCUCGGCACAAACGGUGCACUAUUUCCAAAGUAGUACCCUACUUGUGAUCGGGCCACCACACGAGAAAGGGAGUCAUUUGGUUCUCAUGCGUUGCGUUGCCCCAGAGAGGCCAAACCCGCCGGCUAGUCUCAGGACCUGUGCUAGUCCAUGAAUAGGCUGUUUCCGCAAUGACUCGCGUGAUGAGUCGGCGCAAUAUUAGGACAGUUCUAUUGACCGCGUGCUUUUCCACUUUGUCCCGAGGACCUCUUUUAUGUCAGUCAGCGUAUCUCUGCACGGCAAUGACAUUGUAGCAAAAUAGCAUGACUUUCUCUUCGCCUGGAUAGAAGGAACUUUUGUCCAGGAGAAGGCACAAUUCCAAGGGGCCUGUAAGGGUAAUUGCGAGCUUCUUUGUUUCUAAUAUGUAGAAUUUAGUAGAAUUAGGGGAAAGCCAGUGUUUUACUUCAAAUAACAGGGAAGACCUCCAUUCAAAAUCCACUACAUAAUGUAUGUUAUGUGAACUAAGUAUAAAUGAAUGAUUGCCAUGACUGAUUUGUGGUUGUUAAUCUAUGGUAGUUGUUCUAGACACUAAAUUACCAAAAUGCCGUUUUACAUGUACAAAUUAACUCUUUUAAUGCAUUAUGUGUAUUGUUAUUUUAAUGAGCUUUCAAAGUACCUUCUAAUGAAAUACACUGGACUGUGGUUGAGAAUAAAAUGAAACAAG